rnacentral:rRNA from 1 species
UACAGAGGGGGCAAGCGUUGUUCGGAAUUACUGGGCGUAAAGGGCGCGUAGGCGGACUUUUAAGUCGGGGGUGAAAGCCCAGGGCUCAACCCUGGAAUUGCCUUCGAUACUGGGAGUCUUGAGUUCGGAAGAGGUUGGUGGAACUGCGAGUGUAGAGGUGAAAUUCGUAGAUAUUCGCAAGGACACCAGUGGCGAAGGCGGCCAACUGGUCCGAAACUGACGCUGAGGCGCGAAAGCGUGGGGAGCAAACAGG